CACGCGGAGGGAUCAUUACCGAGUUUACAACUCCCAAACCCAUGUGAACAUACCUAUUGUUGCUUCGGCGGGAUUGCCCCGGGCGCCUCGUGUGCCCCGGAUCAGGCGCCCGCCUAGGAACUUUAACUCUUGUUUUAUUUUGAAUCUUCUGAGUAGUUUUUACAAAUAAAUAAAAACUUUCAACAACGGAUCUCUUGGUUCUGGCAUCGAUGAAGAACGCAGCGAAAUGCGAUAAGUAAUGUGAAUUGCAGAAUUCAGUGAAUCAUCGAAUCUUUGAACGCACAUUGCGCCCGCCAGUAUUCUGGCGGGCAUGCCUGUCUGAGCGUCAUUUCAACCCUCAUGCCCCUAGGGCGUGGUGUUGGGGAUCGGCCAAAGCCCGCGAGGGACGGCCGGCCCCUAAAUCUAGUGGCGGACCCGUCGUGGCCUCCUCUGCGAAGUAGUGAUAUUCCGCAUCGGAGAGCGAUGAGCCCCUGCCGUUAAACCCCCAACUUUCUAAGGUUGACCUCAGAUCAGGUAGGAA
rnacentral:rRNA from 1 species